rnacentral:lncRNA from 10 species
CUCACACAAAGCCUGGUUGGUGGUCUCUUCACACGGACACGCAUGAAAUUUGGUGCCGUGACUUGGAUCGGGGGACCUCCCUUGGGAGAUCAAUCCCCCGUCCUCCUGCUCUUUGCUCCGUGAGAAAGAUCCACCUACGACCUCAGGUCCUCAGACUGACCAGCCCAAGAAACACCUCAUCAACUUCAAAUCCGAUUUUUGAAGUGACACAUAUUGCUAGCAGCCAAUACAGGCUGAUGGGAUUUCCAGCACUGGGUGCAAUAUCUACAACUAAAUACUUACUAUGGAUGAAGCAAAUGAAGUGAAGACCUUCUGUGCUGUAUCUAUGACUCCUUGACACUUUUCUGGUAUUCAACAGAACACUUAAAAGCAGUUGGCAAUAUAAGAGAAAAAUGUGUAGGUGAUUCUGUUGCAUUUAUUUUUAUCCAUCAUCUUUAAUGAAUGGUUUCUUAUUUUCUUACAUGUAAUAUCAAACUCACAGCAUAAAAAUUCCUAGGGAUAAAUUAGUCGAGCAUGACCUAAAUUUGCCAGAAGUUGAGAUUUGAUACUGUUUUUAAAGCAUCCUUAGAGAAAGUGGAGAAUGUAGAAUUCGGAGUCAGAUAUUUUUAGGUUCAAAUCCCAGUUCUGCCUCUGGUUCUCUUUGAGCUUUGGGAAAGUUAGUAAACUUCUCCAUUGGUUAGUCUCGCUGGCUAAAAACUUGAUAUAAAGCCACUGCAUGAAUUAAAUGGGGGUAACCUUUGUGAGGUACUGAGUGUGAUGAAUUAAUGGGAAUGGUUGAGGUGGGUACAUUUUUCUGAGAGGUCUUGGGCAAUCUGAGGGUUCCCAGGGGUGGCUAGCACCCCAGACCCCAAGACCACUGUUCACCCAGGUUGCAGAUUUGUUCUGCGUUUGGAUGAGAGUAUGAGGAAGUCAAUCACUCCAUUAAAAUGAAUUACUUCAUACUAUAUUUUGAAGAGAAUGAGACUGGAUGAAGUAAUAAUCCAAAGAAAUGGAGGGGAAAGAUCAAAUCAGGAGUUUCAAGAUCUGUGAACCAUAAACAAAAAAAAGUCUAUAAAAUUUUCUUUUUCUCAAAAAAAGAGUGAAAUAUGCCUCUAAUUUAAGGACAGAAGGCCAAAUACAAAGCUGGAACAGUCAAAUAAAGGUGAAUCAUAAAGCUGUCAAGGAAAGACACCCCUUACAUAGAGAAGUUCUAACAAAGGCUUCUUUAGACAGGUCAAAGAAAAGUAUAUGCAUGGAAAAGGAAUGGAGAAGAGCUAUCUUAGGGUAAAUCAACAGAGUUGAUGAUACACAGUUGACUCAGUACCUAAGCAAAAUACACUAUACAAAAGGAUUCUCUCUAAUGCUUUAUGUGGAUUGCAUUGUCUGAAUGAGGAUUAAAAAGCAAUGUCACCAAAAAACAAAAAACAAAAAAAAUGAGGAAGAAGGCCUAAAAUGAAAGAAAGAAAGAGAGAGAGAGAAAGAAAGAGAAAGAAAGAAAGAAAGAAAAGAAAAGAAAAGAAAAGAAAAGAAAAGAAAAGAAAAGAAAAAGAAAGAAAGGAAGAAAGAAAGAAAGAAAGAGAAUAGUUUCUUUGGCAAAAUGUCCACAUCAUUUUAAAGUCUAAAACUGAAAUCAUGUUUAGGAUCAAACCUAGGAUAUACUAGCUUUUCACCUUUCUUGGCUGAACACCACUCAAAUAAAAUUUGUUGAAAUUUAUACUAAUAAUACAUACACAAAGGUAAAUUCACUUUAAGAGGUUCUAAAAUAAAAUAAUAAACUACCUAGUAUAUUACUGUGCACAUAGAUUAUACCCAAUAAAUUAGAGCAUUGUUAUUACUAAAUAAAUAUUCCAAUAGUCCAAAAUAUGAAAUACUUUUAUCCCAUCUCUGUGGCUCAGAUUGCUAUGCUACUAUUUAAGCCCAUUUGAUCAUUAGCACAAAGAGGCAUAAGGAGUAUAACAAUUAUAUUCAAAUGUUCUCAUUUUCAAAGCUCAUAAUACAAGUUCUUUCAAUUUUUGUGAUUUGUUUUCAAUCCCUUGAUCUCUUUUCUUGAUUUUGUCAUAAAUUAUUUCUGUCCUCCAUAAGUGCUCCUUGCAGACCAAUCAUCACUCCAGACCUACCUCUUGCAUGCUUUACAUAUCUCAGUCUUCUCUAUUACCUGCACUUUUAAUCCCAUCCACCACAUCAUUUCCAGUUUAUUUAAUCCCUUCCCGUUCAUUUAUCCAUUCAUCUUCCACUCUGGUUUUUAGUUCAAUGGUUCUCAAACUUUUUGGUCUGAGGACCUUUUGACACUUUUUAAAAAUCAUCAAGAAUAUCAAUGAGCUUCUGUCUGUGUGGUUUAUAUCUAUGAGUACCUAUUAUAUCAGAUGUUAACACUGAGAAAUUCUAAAAAAUACUAAUGCAUCUUAAAAUAGCACUCACAAUCUCUUUAUAUGUUAACAUACAUAUCUUUGUGAAAAUUAAUUCUGCUACAAAACAAGAGCAGUGGGAAGAGUGACAUUGUUUUAUACUUUUGCAAAUUUCUUUAGUAUCUAGUUUGAUGGAAGAUAAUUGGAUGGUCAUAUCUACUUCUGCAUGUUAUUUGUUGGAAUAUGUUGGAUUAGUUCAGGCAAAUUAAGACUAUUCAUCAUCAUGCAGAUCUAUAGAAGGAAAACGGAGAAGUGUUUUCAUAACCUUUUCAGAUAAUUAUAGAUUUUCUUCUUUGACACCCAACACCCAACAUGGGUAAUUUCUUAAGGUCGGUUUUAAUAUGGGAUGUGAAACCAUAUCAGUGAAAUGUUUGUAAUCUGUUACAGUAAAAUCAGUUGGUCUAUCUUACACAUUAAUGGAUUGGUUGCCCAUGUGUGAUUUUAUAUCAUCAUGCAUUAUUCAUUUGGAAAAUAUUGGUUCCCUGAGUUAUGCAGAUCUUUCAAAU